rnacentral:rRNA from 1 species
UACGUAGGGUGCAAGCGUUAAUCGGAAUUACUGGGCGUAAAGCGUGCGCAGGCGGUUUUGUAAGUCUGUUGUGAAAUCCCCGGGCUUAACCUGGGAAUGGCAAUGGAGACUGCAAGGCUAGAGUUUGGCAGAGGGGGGUAGAAUUCCACGUGUAGCAGUGAAAUGCGUAGAGAUGUGGAGGAAUACCGAUGGCGAAGGCAGCCCCCUGGGCCAAUACUGACGCUCAUGCACGAAAGCGUGGGGAGCAAACAGG